AAAGACAUAAUCAAGGAAAAGCAGAAGCCACAUGCUCCACACUUUCAGGCAUGAAGUGGAAAAGAACUGUGAAGAGACAACAAAACCCUCUUAAGUAUGAAAGGCUGAUUGAUAGGUUUUUGCCUCCUUCUUCCUCAUAGGUGGAUAUGUAAGUUCAUGUAAAGAAUGGGAGAAUAGGGAAAAGUAAAGUAGAGAUGUAUGACAAAGUCAGCCUUUAUUUCUGCCUCACAGAAAGCACAGAAAUUGCUUAAAACCUCUGAAUAGACUGCAUGUCUAGAAAUUAAAGACUUUGCUUUAAUACACAUUUAGUCACUCCUGGGAUUUUAGGCUUUAACACUGGAUCUAAAGAGUCCUUAGUGUAACAAUACUGAGUGUUAACAGCCAUUUCAAAGACAAAAUUUUUAAACAAGGUAAAUCAAAGAAGUUAUGUGAUUCAAAUUAUUUUUUUCUUUCAGUUGGCACCAUAUAUAUUAUGCUUUCAUUUCAAAGCCUACUUUGAUAAUGCUAAUCCUAGUCAUCUAUCAGAAAAAGAUCAAUUUUUAAAAAUGUUUCAGUAAUAUUUAAACCUCAGAGUAAAACCAGAAAAAAAUCCUGAAUGGCAUUCUGAAUAUCUUAGCUGUACAGCUUGAUUCAGUUCAUAAGAAUUAUUGCAGAUUUAAGAAUUAAGAAUAUUUCCCACAAAAGUAAUCUCCUUUCAGCUAAAGUGAAACACCAUACUACAACAUGAGGAAAAUCCUUGAAGUUUAACAGAUUGAGUUUAUUUUUACAGUAUGAAAUCUGUAGUCUAAAGAAGAAGUUACUCACAUUUGUGCAGUAAUGAUGGUUCUUCGAGAUGUGUCCCCGUGGGUGCUUCACUCAUGGUGUCUGGCUCGUCCCGGCGUUGCGGCUCGGAGACUGGCAUAGCCGUGCUCCACUAGACUGCACGUGCGCGAGCAGCGGCUCGCGCCGUUCGCACCUUUCAUCUGUUGCGUGUGGUCCAGCACCACUUAAUUCCUCUCAGCUGCCCAAGCAUCUGUAAUGAUAAAGAGUCAAAUUCCAGAGCGGGGAGGAGAGCAGGUCGUGGAGCACCCACAGGGACACAUCUCCAAGAACCAUCGUUACUUCACAAAGGUGAGUAACUACUUCUUCUUUGAGUAGUCCCUGUGGGUGCUCCACUCAUGGUGACUUCAGAGCAGUACCUGAGCAAGAAAUGCACUUCUGAAUUAAGGUUUAACAACAGGAGGGAGUACUGCCAUUACCACCAAGAAGUCUGAAGCCGAAUGAUUCAGUAUCACAUAACGUCUCAUGAAAGUCUUGUUGGAGGACCAUGUUGCUGCUCGGCAAAUGUCACGAAAUGGUACUCCUCUUAAAAAGGCUAUAAAUAUGGCCACUGCUCUUGCAGAGUAGGCUUUAGGUUGAGCUGGGAGUGGCUUAUUAUAUAGAGAAUAGCAUGUAGUAAUCCAUGUCACUAUUAAGUUCGCAAUGCGUUGGGAGGACAAUGGUUGCCCCUUGGAACGAGUCACCACUGAAACUAUAAGGCGGUCUGUUCUGCGGAAAUCUCGUGUUCUGUCCAUAUAGAAAGCUAGAGUCCUGUGUACAUCAAGGGUAUGCAGAGUUGCUGCAUAUGGUGAGGUAUGCGGUUUGGGGCAGAAACAGGGAAGCACAAUGGGCUCGUUGAUAUAAAGUCCGAGCAUACUUUGGGAAGGAAUGCUGGGUGAUAUCUUAAUGUAACCGAGUCCUUUGUAAAUAUGGUAUAAGGCAGUGAUGACAUGAGGGCUGCCAGUUCACUUAUUCUAUGUGCCGAAAUCAAGGCUAGUAAAAAGAGAGAUUUAAUUGUGAGCGGGUGCAGUGAGGUCGUAGCCAAUGGUUCAAAUGGGGGAUGUGUCGACGUAUCUAGCACCAAAUCGAGAUUCCACAAAGGCGGUGGAGGACUCCAUGGUGGGUUAAGAUUCAUAAGCCCUUGAGAAAUCAUUUCGUCAUGGGGUGAGAAAACAAGGAAAACCCGUCUAUGGUACAGCGAAAGGCAGUAAUCACUGCUAAAUGUACUCGUAAGGAGGCUAUAGAUAGACCUCUUUGUUGCAAAUAUAGUAUAUAGUCGAGUAUCUUAUGUAAUGGUGAAGCAUGGAGGUCAAUAUUUUCAGCGCACCAAGCCUGAAAUCUAGUCCACUUAGUAGAAUAUGUGGCCCGUGUAGAGUCCUCCCUGCUGGACAUUAGUACAUGUUUGACUCAAUUGGAGCAAAGGUACUCAGAUGCCGUGAACCACUUAGCAUCCAAACAGUCAAAUGCAGGAUUUCAGGUCUCGGGUGCCAUAGAGAGCUGUUACAUUGAGUUAGUAGAUUCGGAGCAAUGGGAAGACAGUACAGUGUAUUGUUCGACAGCUGGUGAAGCAUUGAAUACCAUGGUUGGCGAACCCAAGCUGGAGCUAUGAAGAUCACGUGAGCCGCAUCCAUGGUGAUUUUUUUUUCCUAUGAUCCUGGGUGCAAGUAUAACGGGCAAGAAGGCAUAAAGUAGAGAUGCUUCCCAAUGAAGGAGAAAGGCAUCUCUCAAGGAGUGAUGACCUAUUCCUGCUCUGGAUCAGUAUUUUGGACACUUCGCACUGUCUUGUGUUGCAAACAGGUCUAUUGAUGGAAAGCCCCAAUGGUGGAAAAUCCGAACUGACAUUCUGUACUGGAUCUCCCAUUUGUGAUCGUGGGGAUACUGCCAGCUUAGUGAAUCUGCAACGACGUUGUUGACUCCAGGUAAGUACAAUGCUAUGAGGAACGUGUCAUUGCAGAUACACCAGUUCCACAACCAAAUCGCUUCUGCGCAAAGAUAUCAAGAACGGGCUCCGCCUUGUUUGUUGAUGUAAUUCAUGGUUGCAACAUUGUCUGUGAGCACUCUGGUUGUUGUGCCCUUUAUGUGCAAUUUGAAAUGCUUGCAUGUAUGAAAUACUGCCCGUAGCUCGAGAAUAUUGAUGUGCAGUAACAUUUCUGCCUUGGACUAUCUGCCCUGAACUGUUAGGUUGUCCAUGUGGGCGCCCCAUCCCGAAAGGGAGGCAUCGGUGGUUAUUUGUUUUGAUGGUUGGGGGCAGUGAAAAGGGACAUCCUGCAAGAGAUGUUCUGGUUUGGUCCACCAUUAGAGGGACCCCCUGACAUGUGGCAGUAACACUACCAAUUUGUGGAUGCUGUGUUUCGCCCGAGUGUAGACAGAGGCUAGCCAACGCUGGAGACAUCGGAAAUGUAACCUCACAUGUCGAACGCUGAGAGUGGCAGCUGCCAUGUGGCCCAUCAACUCUAAGCAGGUGCAUACUGGCAUCAUUGAAGGAUGUGUGACGAAGUCUACUAGGUCCUGGAUUGACUGGAAACAGUCUGCUGAUGGCUGGUUAGAGAUACGGGCAGGCUGCUGUCACCUCCUCUGAGGACGCUGCCAGAAUCGUUGAUGAUCUAAGGUGCGAGGUUGUUGCCUAUGGAAGGAGAAAUCACAUCUUCUUUGGUAAGUAUAAUAGCGCUUUCGUCUGAAGGGGGGUCUAUACAUCCCUAGCGUGCGAAGCGUAGUUCGGGAAUCCUUCCCUGAGUGCAGGUCCUCAUCUGUUUUGCUAGCAAAGAGUUUAUGCUUGUCAAAGGGCAAGUCCUCAACCUUAUCCUGGAGUUCUUUUGGGACUGUUGCUGAUGGUAGCCAUGAAGAUCUUCUCAUUGUCACCCCUGUAACAGUGGCUUGUGUGGCAGUAUCCGCCACAUCCAUGGCGAUUUAUAAUGUGGCUUUACAUGAAGCGAAUCCCUCUUGCACUAUGGAUUUGAACAAUGGUCUUUUUGAGUCAGGGAGAUGCUGCAGAAGGUCCGCUAAUUUUGAAUAACUAUCAAAACUAUGGUUGGAAAGGAGACCAGAAUAGUUGGCAAUACGCAGUAGUAAUGUGGCUGAAGAAUAAACUUUCCUUCCAAAGAUAUCUAACUUUUUAUCAUCUUUUUCUAGAAGGGCAUUUCUGUAGUGUGGUACUUUCGAUCUAUGCUGUACCACGUCGACCACCAAUGAGUUAGGCUGGGGAUUUUUUGUUUAAUCACCCAAGCCCUUGGAAGGGACAAAAUACGUUCUAUCCGCUUUUUUAUUCGUUGGAGGAGCGGAUGCUGGAGUUUGCCAUAUUUCCUCCACAACCUCCAUGAUCGCCUCAUCAAUGGGAAGUGCGAUUCUACUCUGGUGCUGUGGGCGUAGGUUCUUCAAGAGAUGGUGUUGUUUCAGUCGAAUGUCUCCUAACUGUAUCUCCUGGUUAUUUGCAAUGCGUUUGAAGAGAUCCUGAAAUUGUUUCAGGUCAUCUGGCAAAGAGACGUCGCCUGGAAUCACCGCCUUAUCUGGAGAGGAUGAUGAGUUGUCUCUUGGCGAUGCGCUCUGCUGAGGGGCUUCUGGAUCGGACUGUUGUCCUUCUUCUGGCUCCGAAUGCUCCAGUUGAAUUGUUGGGCUCUUUGGAGAAGGAGGCAGUGAAAGUUCAUGUUGAGGCUCUGAAGAUUAAACCUAAGGAGAAACUCUGAGGAAGAGAUGGAGCUCUGUCCGUGACUGAGGUUGGUUGGAAGUAACUAAGCGGGGCUGGACCACACGCAACAGAUGAAAGACUUGAACGGUGUGAGCCGCUGCUUGCGCAUGAAUGAUCUGGCGGAGCACGGCUAUUCAGGUCUCCAAGCUGUGGCAUGGGAACAAGCCUGACACCAUGAGUGGAGCACCCACAGGGAUCACUCAAAGAAGAAUAGGAUUUUACUUGUAUCUUUAAAUUAAGUUUCAUCAUCAUGAGAUUAUGUAUGAAGUAAGGAUGUUAAGGACUAGUCGACUAGCCAAUAAGCAAAUGCUUAUCUGAUAGUCAA